rnacentral:rRNA from 1 species
AACGAACGCUGGCGGCAUGCCUAACACAUGCAAGUCGAACGUGACCUUCGGGUCUAGUGGCGCACGGGUGCGUAACGCGUGGGAACCUGCCCUUAGGUUCGGAAUAACUCCCCGAAAGGGGUGCUAAUACCGGAUAAUGUCUUCGGACCAAAGAUUUAUCGCCUUUGGAUGGGCCCGCGUUGGAUUAGCUAGUUGGUAGGGUAAAAGCCUACCAAGGCGACGAUCCAUAGCUGGUCUGAGAGGAUGAUCAGCCACACUGGGACUGAGACACGGCCCAGACUCCUACGGGAGGCAGCAGUGGGGAAUAUUGGACAAUGGGCGAAAGCCUGAUCCAGCAAUGCCGCGUGAGUGAUGAAGGCCUUAGGGUUGUAAAGCUCUUUUACCCGGGAUGAUAAUGACAGUACCGGGAGAAUAAGCGCCGGCUAACUCCGUG